rnacentral:lncRNA from 1 species
AUAGCUUGUGAUUAUGAGAGCUCCCCACCUCCAUUCUCUAUCUUCCCUUUUUGAGAUUACUUUUCUCAGCAGCUGCUCUCUUCACCCCCACCCCACCUCUCUCACACGCAGUUUCCACACUCAACUUGUAUGAUUACCAGUUCUAUAUAUCCUUUUCGAACUUGGUUAUGAUAUUUUCGAGGAUGGUGUCUAGCUAGUAUGAUUAGAAGGGUUACAUGGAGUCGUCAUAAACCAUGGAUAUGUGCAUCUAUAUAAGAGUUGCAUAGAUCUACAUUAAGAUUUUCACCUUAGCACCGAUGAAUCUUUUGUGAAUUUCUUAUCUAGUGAAUCUCUCUUUCUUUAACCAUGCACUGCAUUUUGUUUGUAAUGUUUUGUUGUGUAGAUGAUAAUUAAUAGAUAAGAGAGCUUUUUUCGGUCCACUUAUAGAUAGUAAUAUGAUUUAAUUAGUUACCGACUCAUUCAUCCAAAUACUGAGUUAUGAGCUAAGAUUACCCAGUAAAUGAAUGAGUGAUGCGGGAGACAAAUUAAAUCUUAAACUUCCUAUCAUUGGACUGAAGGGAGCUCCCUUUACUGUUAUACUAUAUUUUAUAAUUGUUUCUUGUGUUUGAUAUAUAUAUAUAUCUAAGAUUCUAAUGUAUGUCUGGCGGCCAAUGCUGUACAUAUAUUCUUCAGAAAGCAUGAAAUCAUGUACAUAUAUUCUUCAGAAAGCAUGAAAUCAUUCUAUGCUGAGGUAACACUGAUAACCUUGAACUUAUCCAUUUUUUUACUGAGUUUAUCUUUGUUGUGUAAUCUGUAAAAAGAUCUGCUUAUAUAUAAAUAUCUAAGAUCUGCUUAUAAAUAUCUUAAAAAUUAUAGCGUCAAAUCAAUCACCAGUUGCCAUGCUAUUUUUAUCUUGGUAUUUUUUGUUAUAAAAACAGUCCAGAAGUGGAAAUUAGGGAUGAAAACCAGAAAGGUUGCUAGAAAACUCGAUUUCAUUACGAUUUGAUCAAAUUUUGAAUCAAACUUGGCCUAACUAGCUAGGCAGCUAACCAUUCAAAGUUGCAGGUGAACUAUCUUAAGAAGGAAACAACAAUCGAAAGUUGGACACGAGGGUUUUUAGAGUUUUGAUCAAGCUGCAACUAUUUCUUUUUUAGGGCAACAACGCAUGAGGGGGGAGUUCUUACAAGCUCACGCUCCACGACUUUAACUUCUUGGGUCUUGCUCUUAAACGGCAACAAGUUCCUAGAAGGCUAGAUAUGUCCCCCAGAAGUAGAAUUACUGAAAUAUCCUUAAUUAAGUUUUUUUUGUUUAUAUAUAUAUAUAUAACGAGCAACCUCAACAGGGGGGUCUUACCAGUAGUUUUUGGAGAAAAUAUAUUUUGGCAAAAGAAUUAAUUUGCUCUUUGUUUACUGGUUUAAUUUGACCGUAAAGAGAUGAAUGAAGUAAGAAACCUUAAUGUUCUCUUUAGCUCAUGGUUUUAUUUUGUUACAAUUUAAGAUUGAAACCUCCUUACGUAUAAUGUUAUUUAUUUGUUUUUUGCUCAUAUCUUUAGGUAGAAAAAUUCAUUUUGUCUUGGGCCCUUUUUUCUUUUUAUCUGCAUUAAGCAAAUAUGGCAGGGAAAAACUGCAAAUGGUUUGUGCCUAGCUAGAUACUAUAUGAUUUCAGAAAAAGGGAGCACUUGUUUUAUAACUUGUUGCCUAUAGGAGUAAAAACAUUUAAUUUUUAUAAAUUUUUUUUUCCGAAGCAUGUUUGGGAU